rnacentral:rRNA from 1 species
AUUAAUUCGAUGCAACGCGAAGAACCUUACCAAGGCUUGACAUGAACCGGAAAGACCUGGAAACAGGUGCCCCGCUUGCGGUCGGUUUACAGGUGGUGCAUGGUUGUCGUCAGCUCGUGUCGUGAGAUGUUGGGUUAAGUCCCGCAACGAGCGCAACCCUCGUUCUAUGUUGCCAGCGCGUGAUGGCGGGGACUCAUAGGAGACUGCCGGGGUCAACUCGGAGGAAGGUGGGGACGACGUCAAAUCAUCAUGCCCCUUAUGUCUUGGGCUUCACGCAUGCUACAAUGGCCGGUACAAAGGGUUGCGAUACUGUGAGGUGGAGCUAAUCCCAAAAAGCCGGUCUCAGUUCGGAUUGGGGUCUGCAACUCGACCCCAUGAAGUCGGAGUCGCUAGUAAUCGCAGAUCAGCAACGCUGCGGUGAAUACGUUCCCGGGCCUUGUACACACCGCC